rnacentral:rRNA from 1 species
AUGUUGCUCUUGCGAUUGAGGGUUUCGCCGCAAACCUUCCGCGACAGAUCUACAACCAUGCGGGUUUCCCAUCUCGUCCUCCUUGCUAUUAGUGUCAUCCUGUCCCGUCAGGUCCCACCUCAAUCACCCCAACCAUCAUUGCCACUUGCUGGUGGCGGUGGGAAGAAGAGAAAAAACCCGAGGAGGAAGCAGGAGGGCAUGGAUCGCACAGCUAAGUUGGGGGCUGUUGAGGAGGAAAAGGGGCCAACACCGAACACCUUGCUCCUCCCCCGGUUGAGUGGUCCAAUGAAACAAAGGAUCACCGAGGAGUAUCGUCGGUUGUUUGGGGCUUUUGGUGGUAUUGAAGAAUUCUUUCACCAGGUCCAUGAGUUUCUUAGCACUCUUGUAGAUGCGAGGGACGAACUACUACAAAAGUCUGAGAACACCCGAAGAAGCAUCACAAUAAGGAAGGCCAUGUUAUCUAACAGUCGUAAUGGUAGGUCUUCACAUGACCACCUUCGCCUAUGUCAACAGGUGGAUAAGUUGGAAUUUGAAUAUGAAAGACUAAAGAAAGAUGCCAGCAUUUACCAUAAUCUCCAUGAGCAGCUUCAGCUGUCAUCGUGCUACAAACUGAUGGAGGAGAGCAACGAUGAAGCGGAGAAGAGAAUCCGUGAAGGAGCCUUCGCCAAAGGGGUGCGCGAUACCGCCUUCGAGGAACUGCUGGCCGUGGAGAAGAAGGACAACGCUUUCUGGCGUCGUGACGGGAAGCUGAGGUCGAUCUCGGACAGCAUGUAG